rnacentral:rRNA from 1 species
AGUCGAACGGUAACAGGGAUUGCUUGCAAUCCGCUGACGAGUGGCGCACGGGUGCGUAACGCGUAUAGAACCUACCCUUUACAGGGGGAUAGCCCGGAGAAAUCCGGAUUAAUACCCCGUAGUAUUAUGAAUUGGCAUCGAUUUAUAAUUAAAGUUUCGGCGGUAAAGGAUGGCUAUGCGUCCUAUUAGCUAGAUGGUGAGGUAACGGCUCACCAUGGCUUCGAUAGGUAGGGGCCCUGAGAGGGGGAUCCCCCACACUGGUACUGAGACACGGGCCAGACUCCUACGGGAGGCAGCAGUGAGGAAUAUUGGACAAUGGUCGAGAGACUGAUCCAGCCAUGCCGCGUGCAGGAAGACGGCCCUACGGGUUGUAAACUGCUUUUGUACGGGAAGAAUAAUGCCCACGUGUGGGCAGAUGACGGUACCGUACGAAUAAGACCGGCUAACUCCGUGCCAGCAGCCGCGGUAAUACGGA